CAUGCAAGAAACCAAACUUAGAAAGAGAACAUCUGAUUGGAUGGAUCAUGGUUGGUGUGGAGAUGCAGCAGGAAUGGUUGACUAUCAAUCUUGGUUAGCUUGAAAAAGAAAUUCAAUCGUGCAGAUUGUUCAGAUCAUUGCCAUGGUACCCAAAGAAGAGUAACCUAGCCAGACAAUAAUGGAUCAGCAAGUGAAAAACACUCAUGAAAAGACACAUAGAAUACACAAGAAUACAAGCACAGGCCAUUUUGCCUAAAUCCAGAUUAAAAAAUAUUUUCUAUA